AACCCCCUCAAGCUCUGCUUGGUGUUGGGCGUUUGUCUUGCCGUUUGGCCUAGACUCGCCUUGAAAAUAUUGGCAGCCACCUCCCUAGCCUUGGACGCAGCACUCUUGCGCCUGGUACAUGGGGGAUGUUGUUUCCCAAAAGCCCAUUUUUUA
rnacentral:misc_RNA from 1 species